rnacentral:tRNA from 1 species
UCCUUGGUGGCCUAGCAGUUAAAGUUGCGGCAUUACCACUGCUGUGGCUCAGGUUCAAUCCCUGGCCUGGGAA